rnacentral:lncRNA from 1 species
UGGCGUUGGUGGCCCGGGGCCGAUCCAGAGAAGGCUAGGGCUGCGAUCCAGACAAGCGAUGGCGACGCGUCCCCGUUCUGGUGUGGCUGGCGGGUGCGGCAUGGAUCUAGAUCGACGAAUUGAUGGGCAACGAGCUGCUCCGUCCCAAGCGAGGUGUCGCACUGGGCGGGCGGCCGUAGGCCACAGCGUCGCGUCGCAAGAAAGUUUCAGGUCAGACUUGGUCUCUAGCUUGGCAGGUAAGCCUGUUUUGUUGUUCAGAUUGAAAAAUGCCACAGCAGCACCAAAAGUGUUUAUUUGGCCAUUACUAUGCAAAUUGUGUUAUGUUAUCAACUGCUAAACUUACAAUAUUUUAUAUGCAUGGUGAUACUCGGCGGGAACUGAUGUUUGUGCUUUGUUCGUUUCAGUGGUUGAUUGUAGCUAGCAUUCUAUAUUGUUCUAAUUAAAGGAGUGGAGCAGCGACCAGAUGGAGCUUUGUGGUGGCGACCAGGCCACCAGGGAGGAGCGGAGCAGCAGCUAGCAUCGGCGGACAGGUAGAGAAGAUUAUUGGGUGAUGGCAAUGAGCGAUCGAGUUCAGACUGGUUCGUACUGGUGAGAGGUAACCUCAUUGUUCCUUUUAUAAGAUGGGAGAAGAACCAAAUCCAUUUAACCAAACAUGUGGAUAGGUCGAUGACUUCGUGCGGCCGCGGUAGAGCAUGCCAAGAAAGGAGAUGGCUGGAGGCGUCCUUCCAUGUUGCACAGUCGAGCGUGCUCUAUUCACAAAUAGCAUUGUUUUUCACACGCAUCGUUGUAUGCAAACAUAGUUUACAUUCAAGUGAGUUUGUUGAAUUUGCAACUUUAUGCCAUUAUAUUACGAUAAUGUAUCUGAAGAUCGAUUAGGAGUAUAAAUUAUAUGUUUACAAGAAUGUGACAAUAGUACAACCUCAUCAGACAAUAUAAGGUGGGUAGCAGUUGAGCCAUUCAUUUGUUAGGGACUGCUAUUUUCCCUUAUGUGUACCGUCAGACAGAACAGAAGAUUCGUUUCAUUCCCUUUUUGAUGUCUUUCCAUAUUUCUAUGUUUCAUUGUAUGUAAAAACGAAAGGAAG